AGCCGUUCACACCGGCGCAGGAGCUGCUCAACUCAACUGCUUUUUUUCUCGUGUUCACACCGUCCUCUGCGCGCGCGAUGACCUGUGAAUGCUAGAUCCUCGCGGCUUUUUUCUAGAUGGUUCUCGUCGGGCUAUUCGUCCUCGCGAGAUCCGCGCGGCGGCGGCAGGGCGGAGGCGCCUCGCGCGGCGUCCGGGCCGCGGUGGAGGCGGAGGCGGUGCGGCGGCGACGGAACUCCCCAUCCUCCUCCUUCCAUCUCGGCGCGUGUGCGGCAGUGCGGCGGCGGCAGAGCACAACAACCGCGGCGGUGCGGAGGCGAGCGAAUCCAGGAGAUUGAAGGGCACCAUUCUUUGAUGUUCGAAUGUUUGAUUCCUUACAGGGAAGAACACAAUAAGUUUUUGCAUAGGCCUUCCUGUUUCUGAGUACUAAAAGUAUGGACCCCAAAUAUUGCUGGUUUAUCACAGCUCUCCUCCUCUUCGUUUCUUGCCAAAAAGCAGCAGCAAUCAGAGAGCAGAAGAAGGGGCGAGCCUGCUUAGAUCUGCAGCAAAAGAGGCACCACAGCAUGCUAAGUUCAUCACCGUUAUGGAAGACGAAGCCUUUGCCUCCACAUCACAAAGCAGUCAUGCCUAGCUUACAGAUGCAUUUCAGAAAAACACCCUUCUGCACACUUGCUUAAAUACGCUUAUUGUAGGUAUCCUCUCUUUAAUUUCUACUCAGAACAUACUUUUAUUUGACCUCUUAUUAGGCAGGCUUAGAAAAAAUGUCCUACUAACACUUGCUCUUAGAUCAAUGUAAGCUUAAGAAAUAUUAACUGUGCUAUAAAUCAGGAUCACAAAAAAACCCCUAUUACACAAUUGAUUAAGUGCACUUAUCUUAGGCAUUACCUCUUUAAUUUCCAUCCGCAACUCACUUUUACUUCGCCUCCUGUUAGGCAAGCUAGAAAAACUUGGACUGCCCGCACUUGCUUUUCCAGCAAUGUCAUCUUAGGAAAGCUUGGUUAUACUAUGAAUGGAGUUCAGAAAAGCACCAUACUGUACACUUACACUUAUGCUAGGUAUCUCUUUUAAAUUCCCAUUCACAACUCACUUUUAUUUGACCUCUUACUAUGCAGCCUUACAAAAAAAAUGGACCCUACCCACACUUGAGAUUUGACCAAUGUCCACUUGCUGCUACUAAAUUAAUUAUUUCGCAUUGCCAACGGUAUUGCUACAAUCUUCUUUACUGAAAAUUUAGCUACAAGGAUUUAUUCUUCCUUCAUAUUUACAAUAUAUCUACAGCUGUAGCCUUCAAUGCCCCAAUGCUUAGGACAGAAUUACUAUAUAGCCACCCCCUUUUGGAAAUAUUCAUUUUACUUAUUUACCCAGCUACUACAGUCUUUCUGACCCACUUAGAAUUUACAAUCUAACUAUCUAUUACAUUUAUACAGCCCAAUUGGAGCUACCAAAUGAUAUUACAUUUAUACAGGCCAAUUUGAGCAACCAAAUGAUACAGGUCAACACCAGAUCCUAUGAGAACCCAAAAGUAGCAAGAUCAACUGAAGCUCCACUAGCUAGCCAUCAAACAAGCUACGGUACGCGCACAGUCAUUCCUCAAUGGCUGACAAGUUGGCUUUCCCUAAUCUCUCCUCCUCCGUUGUUGCCUUUUAGAAUUUUACCACUGUUUAGAUGGAAGUUUUGAUGCUCCCUGUGGAUAUUUGAUUUAUCAUAGCGCCAACUCAUGAAAGGAAUCCUCAUGCUAUUACUUUUUCUCCUGAACAAACUAAUUAAGUUGGUCUAUUAGGUUCUUAGAUUUGCUGUCACUAAACAGUAUGUAUAUCUCUUGCAGGUCAUUCCGACUUCGUUUAAAUAUUUUCUCUAUUUUGAAUAUUGAUAUUUGCACCUGUUUCAAUGAUCCUGAGCUAUCCAUGUCUUGAAGGCAUAUGAUACAAUGACAGUAAACUGAGUGGGUUACAUUAGUAUCUAGAUAAAAAAUGUGGUUCCUAUCUAUUCUAGGCAAUAAUAUUGAAUGGUAUGUUUUAAUUAAACACUCAAAAUACAGAGUAAACAUGCUACUGAUUGAGUAGAUGGCAGCAACAUUGCUUUGCCUGUGAGAUAAUCUUUUAAUAUUAAUUAUAAUGCAACAAUGGUACUUUUACCUCUUAUGUCCGCAGGCCACCUAUUUUUCCUCCUGAUCUUCCAAGUUGGUAGCUUUGUUGUUCUACAAGCUGACACUGAUAAGGAUGCAAGAAAGACAAUGCCUGAUGCCUGUUGUUGAUAAUCUAAGUUCGAUAUAAUGUGCUUUCUCUAAUGCUCCUGCUGUCUAUUUUAUAUUACAGAAGGAUGAAUAUUCUGCACUCUAAGUUGGGCUCCAGAUCAUGUUAAUGGCUCACCGCUGCCGGUAGCAGCAUCAAACAAUAGGAUCAUUCGGUCCAUCAAUUAUUACAUCCUGGAGCUUGUGAAUCUGAAUUUUUUUUCCUUGUGUUUAUACAUAGAUUGGACCUUGACAGGACAUGAACAAGUACAUUUUGUUUUCUUCAUGUUCACAUUUCGAUCAAUGAAUAAGGAUAGUUGUUUUCUCUAUGUUCA